rnacentral:rRNA from 1 species
UACGGAGGGAGCUAGCGUUGUUCGGAAUUACUGGGCGUAAAGCGCACGUAGGCGGCUUUGCAAGUUAGAGGUGAAAGCCCGGGGCUCAACUCCGGAAUUGCCUUUAAAACUGCAUCGCUAGAAUUGUGGAGAGGUAAGUGGAAUUCCGAGUGUAGAGGUGAAAUUCGUAGAUAUUCGGAAGAACACCAGUGGCGAAGGCGACUUACUGGGCACAUAUUGACGCUGAGGUGCGAAAGCGUGGGGAGCAAACAGG